GUUGAAAGAAGUUUUGUGUUCAAUGAUCCCACGGCAUUAACAGAGGAGGAGUUGUAUGAUUUGCGAGACCGCUGGGCAACUUGUUUUCUUCAACUAUAUAAUCCCGAGGUAGAUUAUGAUGAUGCCGACGAGAAAGAUUAGGAGCUAGCUAGGUUUGUGUGAAGUUACAAUGGACUAGUUAUGAUGAUGUUUUAAUUUGUAUUUUGGAUGGAUUAGUAUUAAUAAUUAUGAUGUUUUGUAUUUUGGAUUACAAUGGUUGUACUUUAAUGACAUUAUUACUAUAUAUAUGUUGAAUGUUGA